AAAUGAGUAAUGUUUAUAAAUCACAGCGAAAAUGUGUUUUUAUUAUGGCCAGUCGAUGCCCAUAAAACAUAGUAUUAAAAAUAAAUUUUGAAAGUAAUCAUUUUGAGUAUUUAAAUAGCAUGUCUUUUGUAACAGUUAAAGUAAGGGUUAAGCCGUUUAGUUUGUACAUCUCUCUGGUACCUUAAGAGCCAAAUUAACUAAA
rnacentral:lncRNA from 1 species